rnacentral:rRNA from 1 species
AGAGUUUGAUCCUGGCUCAGAAUGAACGCUGGCGGCGUGCUUAACACAUGCAAGUCGUACGUGAAAGAAGGGCAACCUUCAAGUAAAGUGGCGCACGGGUGAGUAACACGUGGAUAACCUGCCCCAAAGUCUGGGAUAACGCGCCGAAAGGUGCGCUAAUACCGGGUACCUUUAUGCCUCACAAGAGGUAUAAAGAAAGGAGGCCUCUGCUUGCAAGCUUCUGCUUUGGGAUGGAUCCGCGGCCUAUCAGGUAGUUGGUAGGGUAAUGGCCUACCAAGCCUACGACGGGUAGCUGGUCUGAGAGGACGAUCAGCCACAUUGGGACUGAGACACGGCCCAGACUCCUACGGGAGGCAGCAGUGGGGAAUAUUGGGCAAUGGGAGAAAUCCUGACCCAGCAACGCCGCGUGGAGGAUUAAGGCCUUUCGGGUUGUAACUCCCUGUCAGCAGGGAAAAAAGGUUAUAAGAGCUAAAUACCUUUUUAUAGCUUGAUGGUACCUGCAGAGGAAGCACCCGGCUAACUACGUGCCUGCAGCCGCGGGUAAUACCGUUAGGGUUGCAAAGCGUUAUUCGGAAUCACUGGGCGU